GCCUGGUGCAGUCAGUGGGUGGGAGCUAAUGGCAGCAACAAGAUCGGAGCCUUCUGAGAGGCAGCCUGAUUCCUGGGAAAGAGCAUUGGCUAGAAGUCUGAAGGCCUGGGCUAGUUUUACUCUGUUAUUAAAUUGCUGCUGGACCCUGGCUUUACCAGAAGGGUAGAGAGACACUGAUGAACACUGGCCGUCUCAGCAUCCAACUCAGCACCUGGGCCACAGUAAGCAGGCUGUGAAUGUUGAUUUGAGCAAGUGAACUGAUUGAAGGAAAAAUCUCCAGGAAAUGCAUCUUACAAUCUCACCAAGUGCAGCAUCUGGAUGGAAGCAACAGAUAUCAAGCCAUCUCAGGUUGUUUGCUGCAGACUUGUGUGGAGAAUCCCACAAGGUGAAACCAGAAUCCUCAAGGUGAGAUAGGACUUUGCAUUGGAAGCUUUAAAAUGUAAUGCCUGGCUUUGGUGUUUGUUUGUUUUUUAACAGU